GAUGAACGCUAGCUACAGGCUUAACACAUGCAAGUCGAGGGGAUAAGACAUCGAAAGCUUGCUUUUGAUGGGCGUCGACCGGCGCACGGGUGAGUAACGCGUAUCCAACAUGCACACCACUUGGGGCUAACAUUGCGAAAGUAAGACUAAUACCCAAUGACGUCUCUAGAAGACAUCUGACAGAGAUUAAAGAUUUACCGGUGAUGGAUGGGGAUGCGUCUGAUUAGCUUGUUGGCGGGGGAACGGCCAACCAAGGCGACGAUCAGUAGGGGUUCUGGUAGGAAGGUCCCCCACAUUGGAACUGAGACACGGUCCAAACUCCUACGGGAGGCAGCAGUGAGGAAUAUUGGUCAAUGGACGAGAGUCUGAACCAGCCAAGUAGCGUGCAGGAUGACGGCCCUAUGGGUUGUAAACUGCUUUUAUAAGGGAAUAAAGUGAGAGUCGUGACUCUUUUUGCAUGUACCUUAUGAAUAAGGACCGGCUAAUUCCGUGCCAGCCGCCGCUGUAA
rnacentral:rRNA from 1 species